rnacentral:lncRNA from 1 species
UUAUGACCAAAAAUGUUGAGUAAUAAAUAAAAAUCUUGUAAUUGCAAUAUGGUUCUAAAAACUUCAAAUUUGGUGACUCUAGGACCUUGAUGGACAAAACUCCCUCUAACUCAAAAAGUUUUUGAGGUACAAGAAUCGUUCUUAUAUGAAAUUGUUUGGCAAGAAACACCCUUUCUUGCACUAAAACCCUUUUAAGCAUGUCCCCAUUAUUUCUUAAGAUAUUCUCAAGAAAAGUUAGAAUUUGUUAAGAAAAGUAGCAAAAAAAAACUACCCCAACCAAAACAGCCCUAGCUACCUCAAUUUUUAAUCCAGAAAGACGUUUCUGUCCUCAAAUCCAUCAUCAGGAAUGCCAUUAUAAGGAUGUAAAAAAAUUAUGAGAAUAUCUUAAGUAGUUUCCAAGUUAUGACCAAAAAUGUCGGGUAAUAAAUAAAAAUCUUGUAAUUGCAAUAUGGUUCUAAAAACUUCAAAUUUGGUGGUUCUAGGACCUUGAUGGACAAAACUCCCUAUAACUCAAAAAGUUUUUGAGGUACAAGCAUCGUUUUUAUAUGAAAUUGUUUGGUAAGAAACACCCUUUCUUGUGCUAAAACCCUUUUAAGAAUGUCCCCAUUAUUUCUUAAGAUAUUCUUAAGGAAAUUUAGAAUUUGUUAAGAAAAGUAGCAAAAAAAACUACCCCAACCAAAACAGCCCUAGCUACCUCAAUUUUUAUUCCAGAAAGACGUUUCUACCCUCAAAUCCAUCUCCAGGAAUGCCAUUAUAAGGACGUGAAAAAAUUAUGAAAAUAUCUUUAGGAGUUCCCAAGUUAUGACCAAAAAUGUUGAGAAAUAAAUAAAAAUCUUGUAAUUGCAAUAUGGUUCUAAAAACUUCAAAUUUGGUGACUCUAGGACCUUGAUGGACCAAAAUCCCUCUAACUCAAAAAGUUUUUAAGGUACAAGAAUCGUUCUUAUAUGAAAUUGUUUGGUAAGAAAGACCCUUUCUUGCACUAAAACCCUUUUAAGAAUAUCCCCAUUAUUUCUUAAGAUAUUCACAAGGAAAGUGAGAAUUUGCUAAGAAAAGUAGCAAAAAAAACUGCCCCAACCAAAACAGCCCUAGCUACCUCAAUUUUUAAUCCAGAGAGACGUUUCUACCCUCAAAUCCAUCCUCGGGAAUGCCAUUAUAAGGAUGUGAAAAAAUUAUGAGAAUAUCUUAAGUAGUUUUCAAGUUAUGACCAAAAAUGUCGGGUAAUAAAUAAAAAUCUUGUAAUUGCAAUAUGGUUCUAAAAAUUUCAAAUUUGGUGACUCUAGGACCUUGAUGGACAAAACUCCUCCUAACUAAAAAUUUGUUUGAGGUACAAGAAUCGUUCUUAUAUGAAAUUGUUUGGUAAGAAACACCCUUUCUUGCACUAAAACUCUUUUAAGAAUGUCCCUAUUAUUUCUUAAGUUAUUCUCAAGGAAAUUUAGAAUUUGUUAAGAAAAGUAGCAAAAAAAACUACCCCAACCAAAACAGCCCUAGCUACCUCAAUUUUUAAUCUAGAGAGACGUUUCUACCCUCAAAUCCAUCUUCAGGAAUGCCAUUAUAAGGAUGUGAAAAAAUUAUGAGGAUAUAUUAAGUAGUUUUCAAGUUAUGACCAAAAAUGUUGAGUAAUAAAUAAAAAUCUUGUAAUUGCAAUAUGGUUCUAAAAAUUUCAAAUUUGGUGACUCUAGGACCUUGAUGGACCAAAAUCCCUCUAACUCAAAAAGUUUUUAAGGUACAAGAAUCGUUUUUGUAUGAAAUUGUUUGGCAAGAAAUGGACUUUCUUGCACUAAAAGUUUUUAAGAAUAUCCCCAUUAUUUCUUAAGAUAUUCACGAGGAAAGUUAGAAUUUGUUAAAUAAAGUAGCAAAAAAAAACUACCCCAACCAAAACAGCCCUAGCUACCUCAAUUUUUAAUCCAGAAAGACGUUUCUAUACUCAAAUCCAUCUCCAGGAAUGCCAUUAUAAGGAUGUGAAAAAAUUAUAAAAAUAUCUUAAGUAGUUUUCAAGUUAUGACCAAAAAUGUCGGGUAAUAAAUAAAAAUCUUGUAAUUGCAAUAUGGUUCUAUAAACCUCAAAUUUGGUGGUUCUUGGACCUUGAUGGACAAAAAUCCCUCUAACUCAAAAAGUUUUUGAGGUACAAGAAUCGUUCUUAUAUGAAAUUGUUUGGUAAGAAACACCCUUUCUUGCACUUAAACCCUUUUAAGGAUGUCUCCAUUAUUUCUUAAGAUAUUCUCAAGGAAAGUUAGAAUUUGUUAAGAAAACUAGCAAAUAAAAACUACCCCAACCAAAACAGCCCUAGCUACCUCAAUUUUUAAUCCAGAAAGACGUUUCUGCCCUCAAAUCCAUCCUCAGGAAUGCCAUUAUAAGGACGUGAAAAAAUUAUGAAAAUAUCUUUAGGAGUUCCCAAGUUAUUACCAAAAAUGUCGGGUAAUAAAUAAAAAUCUUGUAAUUGCAAUAUGGUUCUAAAAAUUUUAAAUUUGGUGACUCUACGACCUUGAUGGACCAAAAUCCCUCUAACUCAAAAAGUUUUUAAGGUACAAGAAUCGUUUUUGUAUGAAAUUGUUUGGCAAGAAAUGGACUUUCUUGCACUAAAAGUUUUUAAGAAUAUCCCCAUUAUUUCUUAAGAUAUUCACGAGGAAAGUUAGAAUUUGUUAAAUAAAGUAGCAAAAAAAAACUACCCCAACCAAAACAGCCCUAGCUACCUCAAUUUUUAAUCCAGAAAGACGUUUCUACCCUCAAAUCCAUCCUCAGGAAUGCCAUUAUAAGGAUGUGAAAAAAUUAUGAGAAUAUCUUAAGUAGUUUUCAAGUUAUGACCAAAAAUGUUGAGUAAUAAAUAAAAAUCUUGUAAUUGCAAUAUGGUUCUAAAAACUUCAAAUUUGGUGACUCUAGGACCUUGAUGGACGAAAAUCCCUCUAACUCAAAAAGUUUUUAAGGUACAAGAAUCGUUCUUAUAUGAAAUUGUUUGGUAAGAAACACCCUUUCUUGCGCUAAAACCCUUUUAAGAAUGUCCCCAUUAUUUCUUAAGAUAUUCACGAGGAAAGUGAGAAUUUGUUAAGAAAAGUGGCAAAAAAAACUACCCCAACCAAAACAGCCCUAGCUACCUCAAUUUUUAAUCCGGAAAGACGUUUCUAUACUUAAAUCCAUCUCCAGGAAUGCCAUUAUAAGGAUGUGAAAAAAUUAUAAAAAUAUCUUAAGUAGUUUUCAAGUUAUGACCAAAAAUGUCGGGUAAUAAAUAAAAAUCUUGUAAUUGCAAUAUGGUUCUAUAAACCUCAAAUUUGGUGGUUCUUGGACCUUGAUGGACAAAAAUCCCUCUAACUCAAAAAGUUUUUGAGGUACAAGAAUCGUUCUUAUAUGAAAUUGUUUGGUAAGAAACACCCUUUCUUGCACUAA